CGUGUAGGCGGCGGCGCAAGUGUCGAGUGAAAUCCCAUCGCUCAACGAUGGAACGGCUCGGCAAACUGCGUCGCUUGAGGUCGGUAGAGGUGCUCGGAACUCUAGGUGGAGCGGUGAAAUGCGUAGAUAUCUAGAGGAACGCCUGAGGCGAAAGCGGGGCACUGGGCCGAUACUGACGCUGAGACGCGAAAGCGUGGGGAGCAAACA
rnacentral:rRNA from 1 species